rnacentral:rRNA from 1 species
UCUACGGGAGGCAGCAGCAAGGAGUUUUCCGCAAUGGGCGAAAGCCUGACGGAGCAACGCCGCGUGGGGGAUGACGCCCUUCGGGGUGUAAACCCCUUUUCUUGGGGACGAAGCAGUGACGGUACCCGAGGAAGAAGGCCCGGCUAACUACGUGCCAGCAGCCGCGGUAAUACGUAGGGGCCGAGCGUUGUCCGGAGUUACUGGGCGUAAAGCGCGCGCAGGCGGCUCGUCAAGCCUGACGUGAAAGCCCCCGGCUCAACCGGGGAGGGUCGUCGGGGACUGGCGAGCUUGAGGUCGGCAGGGGCUGGUGGAAUUCCCGGUGUAGUGGUGAAAUGCGUAGAGAUCGGGAGGAACACCCGUGGCGAAGGCGGCCAGCUGGGCCGGACCUGACGCUGAGGCGCGAAGGCGUGGGGAGCGAACGGGAUUAGAUACCCCGGUAGUCCACGCAGUAAACGAUGCAGACUAGGCGUGGGGGGACUUGACCCCCUCCGUGCCGGAGCCAACGCGUGAAGUCUGCCGCCUGGGGAGUACGGCCGCAAGGCUAAAACUCAAAUGAAUUGACGGAA